rnacentral:rRNA from 1 species
GGGGGACCAUCCUCCAAGGCUAAAUACUCCUGACUGACCGAUAGUGAACCAGUACCGUGAGGGAAAGGCGAAAAGAACCCCAGUGAGGGGAGUGAAAUAGAACCUGAAACCGUGUACGUACAAGCAGUGGGAGCGGACUUAGUUCCGUGACUGCGUACCUUUUGUAUAAUGGGUCAACGACUUAAUUUUAGUAGCAAGCUUAACCGUUUAGGGGAGGCGUAGGGAAACCGAGUCUUAAUAGGGCGUUCAGUUGCUAGGAUUAGACCCGAAACCGGGCGAUCUAUCCAUGAGCAGGUUGAAGGUUGGGUAACACUAACUGGAGGACCGAACCCACAUCCGUUGAAAAGGCUGGGGAUGACUUGUGGAUAGGAGUGAAAGGCUAAUCAAGCUCGGAGAUAGCUGGUUCUCCUCGAAAGCUAUUUAGGUAGCGCCUCGCGUAUUGCCAUUGGGGGUAGAGCACUGUUUGGGCUAGGGGGUCAUCCCGACUUACCAACCCCAUGCAAACUCCGAAUACCAAUGAGUAUGAGCGCGGGAGACACACGGCGGGUGCUAACGUCCGUCGUGAAAAGGGAAACAACCCAGACCGUCAGCUAAGGUCCCAAAGUUACAGUUAAGUGGGAAACGAUGUGGGAAGGCUUAGACAGCUAGGAGGUUGGCUUAGAAGCAGCCACCCUUUAAAGAAAGCGUAAUAGCUCACUAGUCGAGUCGGCCUGCGCGGAAGAUAUAACGGGGCUAAAACUGUACACCGAAGCUACGGGUUUACACUUUGUGUAAGCGGUAGAGGAGCGUUCUGUAAGCCGUUGAAGGUCAAGCUGUAAAGCAGGCUGGAGGUAUCAGAAGUGCGAAUGUUGACAUGAGUAACGAUAAAGGGAGUGAAAACCUCCCUCGCCGGAAGACCAAGGGUUCCUGUCCCAUGCUAAUCAGGGCAGGGUGAGUCGGCCCCUAAGGCGAGGCUGAAAAGCGUAGUCGAUGGGAAACGGGUUAAUAUUCCCGUACCGAUGUAUAUUGCGAUGGAGUGACGGAGAAGGCUAGGCCAGCACGGCGAUGGUUGUCCGUGUUUAAGGUGGUAGGCUGAGUACUUAGGCAAAUCCGGGUACUUAAGGCCGAGAACUGAUGACGAGUCCUCUUUUGGACGAAGUGGUUGAUGCCAUGCUUCCAGGAAAACCUUCUAAGCUUCAGAUAUACAUAGACCGUACCCCAAACCGACACAGGUGGUCAGGUAGAGAAUACCAAGGCGCUUGAGAGAACUCGGGUGAAGGAACUAGGCAAAAUGGCACCGUAACUUCGGGAGAAGGUGCGCCG